rnacentral:rRNA from 1 species
UACGUAGGGUGCGAGCGUUAUUCGGAAUUAUUGGGCGUAAAGGGCGCGUAGGCGGCUUUUCAAGUGAGGGGUGAAAUCCCUCGGCUUAACCGAGGAACUGCCUGUCAGACUGGAAGGCUUGAGACCGGGAGAGGUGAGUGGAAUUCCCAGUGUAGCGGUGAAAUGCGUAGAUAUUGGGAGGAACACCAGUGGCGAAGGCGGCUCACUGGACCGGAACUGACGCUGAGGCGCGAAAGCGUGGGGAGCAAACAGG